GGAUGAAUAUUUUGUGUGGGCAAGUUUUAUUAGCGCCAUCUUUAUAAAAAUGGCUGCCUUGUUGUUGGCGACUGUUGGGUGCUUGUUUGGAAAUUAAAUGUUUGUUUCUUUCUUUUAUUAUGAUUUCCAAUAACUGCAUGUGUAAAAUAUUGCAGAUUAGGACGGAUGAUAUAAUAAAUUGAUUAUCUUACCGUUUACCUAAACCCCAGCAGUUGUCCGAGAGGAGAGCAUUUUUAUAUAAAUGAGCCCCACCUAGUACCAUAAGCUAGUAGGUACCGUAAGCGGUUAUAUUUGUAAAGGAGUUAACGUAGUAUGUCCAAGAUGUGGCCAGCGUCGCAGUAUUCUCACAGCAACGCCCCAAUCCCCAACAAUGCGGGGAAGGCUAAUGAGCACCAGAAUCAGCAAAACUUGAAGACGUUGGGAAUGACCUCUGCUAUUUCUAUGGCAGGUCCGAAGCCCAUUGAUAUUGAAAAAACAGCUGAGUUGAAGGAAUCCCUGGUUCCUUAUGGGGUGUUUGAGUCCGAACAAGAGAUGCAUCACCGUAUGGAAGUACUGGGUUCCCUGCAUCGGCUGGUGAGGCAGUGGAUCAGAGAAGAAUCUAUGAGGAAGAACAUGCCGCCAAGUGUUGCUGAUACUGUUGGUGGCAAUAUUUAUACUUUUGGAUCUUAUCGGCUUGGGGUGCACCACAGAGGUGCUGAUAUAGACGCGCUUUGCGUGGCCCCUCGUCACAUCGACCGGAUUGACUACUUCGCGUCGUUCUACGAUCUGCUCAAGUUGCAGCCACAGGUAAAAGAUUUGAGAGCAGUAGAAGACGCAUUUGUGCCGGUCAUCAAGAUGAACUUUGACGGAAUUGAAAUUGAUCUGCUGUUUGCCAGGUUGGCGCUCAAAGAGAUACCAGAUUCAUUUGACUUACGCGACGAUAUGCUGCUGAAGAAUUUAGACCAGAAAUGUGUGCGGUCCCUCAACGGGUGUCGCGUGACUGACGAGAUACUCCGUCUCGUGCCAAAUAUCAACAACUUUAGACUCACGCUUAGAGCUAUUAAGCUGUGGGCUAAACGCCACGGCAUAUACUCCAACACUUUAGGCUACCUGGGCGGUGUCUCCUGGGCCAUGCUGGUAGCUCGAACCUGCCAACUGUACCCCAACGCACUGCCAGCUACAUUGGUGCACAAGUUCUUCCUAGUCUUCAGUCAGUGGAAGUGGCCGCAGCCUGUGCUGCUGAAGCAGCCGGAUUCUGUCAACCUUGGAUUUCCUGUUUGGGAUCCUAGAGUGAACAUCUCGGACCGGUUCCACCUGAUGCCGAUCAUAACUCCGGCGUAUCCUCAGCAAAACUCCACGUUCAACGUGUGCGCCUCCACCAGGACGGUCAUUAUGGAGGAGUUCAGACUCGGUCUAGCAAUAACAGACGAGAUAAUGCUCGGCAAAUGCGGCUGGGAGCGUCUGUUCGAAGCGCCAAACUUCUUCUCUCGCUACAAGCACUUCAUAGUGCUGCUGGCUUCCUCCGCCAGCCCUGAUGAUCAGCUGCAGUGGUGCGGACUCAUUGAGAGCAAGAUCAGACAUCUUAUUACCACCCUGGAGCGCAACUCGCACAUAACGAUAGCGCACGUGAAUCCGGAAUGCUACAACUCAGUGCCACUUAACACCAACAACGGACAACCGCUCGCCUUGCCGCCAGGAGCACCAGUACCCUCAGAGACUGCGCCUGAAGUUAAAAAGAAUGAAAAUGGUGAAAUCAUAGCGAACUACUGUUCUAUGUGGUUCAUUGGGCUCGUGUUUGAGAAGACUAACUUGAAUGUGGAUCUGACGUAUGACAUACUGUCUUUUACGAAGGCGGUCAACUAUCAAGCUGAUAACACUAAUAUGUUGAGAGAAGGAAUGACUAUUGAGGCUCGUCACGUGCGUCGCAAGCAGCUGCACCAGUACCUGUCGGCGUCGCUGCUGAAGCGCGAGCGGACCACGUCGGGCACCAAGCGCAAGCCCGAGCCCGCGCCGCCGCUGCCCGCGCCCAGCAAGAAGACCAAGCGCCUGUCGGAGAGCAGCACGGACGAAGUAAGCGUCCUGUCCUACAACGAAGACUCAAACUCGUCAAACAUGUACGAAGUGAACAUGGCCAACGGGACCGCCCCGCACACAGCCACCGAGGCCGCCAAGCCUGCCGACAAGCCCGACCACCCAUCCACGUCCAACUCCAUUGCUUGUACGUAGCAGUACGAGGAGUGGCGGACCAGGUUCAUCUACGGAACCAACGUCAAGCUCACCAGAACCAAACGUGUGUAAAACUAAAGUGAACUAAGUGAUUAUAGUGUGUAAGAACCCGUGAUAAAGAUAAGUUUUCGAAUUUUGGUGCAAUUACUUGUGACGUUUUGGUGUUGUCGCCCAUUUGGACUGAUGGUUUCGUUAUGGUGAGUAUUUUGAUGUUCUCAAAACACUGAUUGCGCAGCGAAUGGAGUGUUUUCGCAUGAAUAUUCCAUUUGUCGACUCCACAUUUGACUGCCACGGUAUAAGCAGUGUAACUAGAUAAGUCGUACGCAAUUUCUAUUCACUACACUUGUAAAUAAUUCCAUUAUUUAAUCAAAAUAAUUUUAAAGUAUUUUAGAACAAAAACUAAUAGAUAUUUUACAUAUCUUUUAGGUAUAGGUCUCGGACAAAUAUGCCACUAGCGGGAUUUACGAGUUUUAAAGUAAUACAAUUUAGAUUUAUGACAAAUAUUGAUGUAAUAUAGAAUAUUAUUUGGGAGUCCGCGCCGAUCCAGCGAUAUCGAGCAUUUGGUCGAGCUAGCGAGACAGAUAUAUUGACAUGUGAUACGGGGACAACGCAUCGUGGCUGCGUAAGUUAUCAAAUAUCAUUAGAUAUACGUUCAUAAAGUUAAUGAAAAUGGAAAAAAAAUGUUUUAGAGGUAACAAGUGAUAUGAAAACGAAGGUCCGUUAAUUGUACGAGAUAUUCGGGUGUUGUUUAUUUGCAGAUGGAGUUCGCGCGGCACGGGGUCAUGUAAGUCUGCUCUGUCAAACUUAGGGUAGGAGUGUCAGACCGUUUGCAAGAAACUAUGUUCAAACACAACAUAAUUUACACGUACAAUGAGAUUAACAUGACUGACGAUGCUUCCACACUAAAAGUAAGCAAAGGGGGUGUUAAUAUGAACAUUUCUUCGUAGAUUGGCAAGUCUGGGAGGGAAAAUACUUCGGAUCGUUGGUUCAUACGCGCCUCGUCGACGGUACCGGCUCGUGCACGUGAACACUCCAUUUGUUUACUAAUCUUUGGUGUUAGAUAGUCGUAUAGCGUAUAUUUUUCUUAUUAAUUAAGCGUGUCAGUCAUGUUGAUAGCAUUUACGUUAAAAUCGUAAAGACAGUAAAAAUAGGUCGAGCACUACCACUGUUCAUUAAGCUCAGAACAAAUUGGGUGUUUAGUAUAAUAAUAGCAUUUUUUUAACUCAUGUCCUGAUUUUUGUGCUGGUUUCUAUUUCUACAUUUGAAAUGUCUACUAGAUAAAUUCAUUCAUUUUUGGAUGAAAUUAUCUUCUAGCCAUUAAUUUUCAAGUGAUGAAACUGAGCAACCACUGAUUUAAUUUGCUAAACAUAGUAAUUUGCAAUUUCCAUCGUUCAUUCAUCACCAAUGAAAAUUGUGCGAUCUAAUAAUUUUGCAUGAUGCGAUCUGCAAAAUUGAAUUUAAAUACACAAAUAGGAACAAUUUAGCUUCUUUAUUAAAAAAGACAAGAUUAAAAAUCUUGCUCUCCCUCUAUGAUAAAGAACAAUUUGCCUAUUUUAUCAUCCAAAAUUAUUAUGUUAAGCACUUGUAAUAUAAUUUAAUUAGUAAGGCCAACCCUCCUAAUACCCAAAUACCAAAGUUCCUAAGAAACCCACCAGAUAUCAACCGAAUACCUAACAAUAUGAGAAUUAACCCUUCAAGGCAUGUACUUAAAGUAUGACCCCCCUAAAUUAUUAUUUCUUGCAAACGGUCAGUGAUAGUACAAAGUGGAAGAAAUUGAUCAAAUAUUCAUUUUGUUUUUUUUUUCUAUGUUUUUCAUACGCUUUUUUGUGACUCGACAACUCUAUUGUCAGUACCUGUAAGGUGACCUCCAGUUUUUUAAGUCUGAAAGUCUGACGUUAGAAUAUCUGUUUUCAAAACUAACGUCAGCUGUAUUUUUGGUAGGCUUCAAGCCUUAAGUUAAUACCAGUUUAACUACAUGUUAUGGGGUUCCCAUGGUGUUUUAGUGGCCUAACAGUUGAUAUUGCAACUGCCAUUUACUUAAAAAGUAUUUUUUUCAAAUGCUUGAGCCAUUGUGACGUCUUGUUAACAGGCCAAAUAACUAUGUAGUUAGUAAAAUAUUAACGAAAGUAACUUUGUUAGGUUUGAAGAAUAUUUUUGUAGAAGCUAAUUUACAUUGAGGAAUCUACUAAAAUAUUGUUUACUAAUAGUUUCUAGACAAUGCCCACAAUUAAAGAGUUAAGUGUAGAUUUCGUCAUUUUAAUUUUCAGUUCUAGAUAUGACUGUUCUCCAGUGUAAACGAGAACGUAAAUAAUGUAGAACAAUUUAACGGUGAGACCAAAAGACUGAUUGCAAUAUUGUUGUCGAGUUAUAACUGUUUUUCAAACUGUAUUGACGACAAGCAAUACUUUCUUCUGCUUUACGUCCAGGGCAUAAACUUAUCAUUUGCAGUUUUUUAUUUGACAUUUAUUUUGCCCAAUUAUAUGAUCAGAUUCGAUACGUUUGUGUGAAAAUUGCAUUUUUCACGUGGCUACGUUCAACUAGAUAUAAACAAAAUGAUUCCACCUAGUUAAUAAGACUCAAUGUAGUUGUUCAUAAGGACCUUCAGGCUUAAUGUAAGUUGUAUAUAAUUCGAUAGACAAUUGAUGAUUAUAUUAUAUGAAAGUAUAUAUCUGGUAAACAAUAAUAUAAAAUUGAAAAAAAAAAAAAAACAAUAAAUGUAUAUACAAAAGGGA
rnacentral:misc_RNA from 1 species